rnacentral:rRNA from 1 species
CAGUCGCCGCGGUAAUACGUAGGGUGCGAGCGUUAAUCGGAAUUACUGGGCGUAAAGCGUGCGCAGGCGGUUAUAUAAGACAGUUGUGAAAUCCCCGGGCUCAACCUGGGAACUGCAUCUGUGACUGUAUAGCUAGAGUACGGUAGAGGGGGAUGGAAUUCCGCGUGUAGCAGUGAAAUGCGCAGAUAUGCGGAGGAACACCGAUGGCGAAGGCAAUCCCCUGGACCUGUACUGACGCUCAUGCACGAAAGCGUGGGGAGCAAACAGGAUUAGAUACCCCAGUAGUCCCUGUCUCUUAUAC